AGAAAUCUACAGAGUAUUGAUCUGGCCAA
rnacentral:piRNA from 1 species